rnacentral:rRNA from 1 species
GUCUAUGGCCACGCCACCCUGAACACGCCCGAUCCCGUCUGAUCUCAGAAGCUAAGCAGGGUCGAGCCUGGUUAGUACUUGGAUAGGAGACAACCUAGGAAGACCAGGUGCUGUAGGCG